rnacentral:rRNA from 1 species
GAUGAACGCUGGCGGCGUGCCUAAUACAUGCAAGUCGAGCGAACGGACGAGAAGCUUGCUUCUCUGAUGUUAGCGGCGGACGGGUGAGUAACACGUGGAUAACCUACCUAUAAGACUGGGAUAACUUCGGGAAACCGGAGCUAAUACCGGAUGAUAUUUUGAACCGCAUGGUUCAAAAGUGAAAGACGGUCUUGCUGUCACUUAUAGAUGGAUCCGCGCUGCAUUAGCUAGUUGGUAAGGUAACGGCUUACCAAGGCAACGAUGCAUAGCCGACCUGAGAGGGUGAUCGGCCACACUGGAACUGAGACACGGUCCAAACUCCUACGGGAGGCAGCAGAAGGGAAUCUUCCGCAAUGGGCGAAAGCCUGACGGAGCAACGCCGCGUGAGUGAUGAAGGUCUUCGGAUCGUAAAACUCUGUUAUUAGGGAAGAACAUAUGUGUAAGUAACUGUGCACAUCUUGACGGUACCUAAUCAGAAAGCCACGGCUAACUACGUG